rnacentral:rRNA from 1 species
CCAACUUUCCAACAACGGUUCUCUUGGCUCCGUGCAUCGAUGAAGAACGCAGCNAAAUGCGUAAAAGUAAUGUGAAUUGCAGGAUUCCCGUGGAAUCAUUCAAAUCUUUGUAACGCAAAUUGCACUGCUUUGGUAUUNCCGAAGAGUAAUGCUUGCUUGAGGGUUGUU